rnacentral:tRNA from 1 species
GGGGAUGUAGCUCAGUUGGGAGAGCAUCGGCUUUGCAAGCCGAGGGUCAGGGGUUCGAGCCCCCUCAUCUCCA